rnacentral:tRNA from 1 species
GCGAGAGUAGCUCAGCUGGUAGAGCAUCACGUUGCCAACGUGAAUGUCGCGAGUUCGAAUCUCGUCUCUCGCU